ACAGAAUUUCCGCCGGGAAACGCUUAUUUUUACUCCGUUAGGCCAUUGCAGGAGUAAGGAUAAGCGUUUUUUGUUU
rnacentral:ncRNA from 1 species